rnacentral:rRNA from 1 species
UACGAAGGGGGCUAGCGUUGCUCGGAAUUACUGGGCGUAAAGGGCGCGUAGGCGGCCCGCUAAGUCGAACGUGAAAUCCCUGGGCUCAACCCAGGAACUGCGUCCGAUACUGGCAGGCUUGAAUCCGGGAGAGGGAUGUGGAAUUCCAGGUGUAGCGGUGAAAUGCGUAGAUAUCUGGAGGAACACCGGUGGCGAAGGCGGCAUCCUGGACCGGUAUUGACGCUGAUGCGCGAAAGCCAGGGGAGCAAACGGG